rnacentral:rRNA from 1 species
GACGUAGGGCGCGAGCGUUGUCCGGAUUUAUUGGGCGUAAAGAGCUCGUAGGCGGCUUGUCGCGUCCUCCGUGAAAACCUGCAGCUCAACUGCAGGCUUGCGGUCGAUACGGGCAGGCUAGAGUUCGGUAGGGGAGACUGGAAUUCCUGGUGUAGCGGUGAAAUGCGCAGAUAUCAGGAGGAACACCGGUGGCGAAGGCGGCUUCCUGGCCUGUUCUUGACGCUGAGGCGCGAAAGCUAGGGGAGCAAACGGG